AGAGUUUGAUCCUGGCUCAGAAUGAACGCUGGCGGCGUGCCUAAUACAUGCAAGUCGUGCGGCAGCAUGCCCUUCGGGGUGAUGGCGAGCGGCGGACGGCUGAGUAACGCGUAGGAAUCUACCCCAAAGUGAGGAAUAACCUCGAGAAAUCGAGGCUAAUGCCGCAUAUGGUCUUCGGAUUAAAGGAUUUAUCCGCUUUGGGAAGAGCCUGCGUAAGAUUAGCCAGUUGGUGAGGUAAUGGCUCACCAAAGCUACGAUCUUUAGCUGGUCUGAGAGGAUGACCAGCCAGACUGGAACUGAGACACGGUCCAGACUCCUACGGGAGGCAGCAGUAAGGAAUCUUCCACAAUGGGCGAAAGCCUGAUGGAGCAACGCCGCGUGCAGGAUGAAGGCCCUCGGGUCGUAAACUGCUUUUAUAAGUGAGGAAUAUGACGGUAGCUUAUGAAUAAGGAUCGGCUAACUCCGUGCCAGCAGCCGCGGUCAUACGGAGGAUCCAAGCGUUAUUCGGAGUGACUGGGCGUAAAGAGUUGCGUAGGGGGUUUGUUAAGCGAAUAGUGAAAUCUUGUGGCUCAACCAUAAGGCUAUUAUUCGAACUGGCAGACUUGAGAAUAUGAGAGGUAGAUGGAAUUUCUAGUGUAGGAGUGAAAUCCGUAGAUAUUAGAAGGAACACCAAUGGCGUAGGCAGUCUACUGGCAUAUUUCUGACCCUGAGGCACGAAAGCGUGGGGAGCGAACCGGAUUAGAUACCCGGGUAGUCCACGCCGUAAACUAUGGAUGCUAGUUGUUGGCCGUAUCGACCCGGUCAGUAACGAAGCUAACGCGUUAAGCAUCCCGCCUGGGGAGUACGGUCGCAAGAUUAAAACUCAAAGGAAUUGACGGGGACCCGCACAAGCGGUGGAGCGUGUUGUUUAAUUCGAGGCUAAGCGAAGAACCUUACCAGGGUUUGACAUCCUUGGAAUUUCUGCGAAAGCAGAGAGUGCCUUCGGGAACCAAGUGACAGGUGUUGCAUGGCCGUCGUCAGCUCGUGUCGUGAGAUGUUUGGUUAAGUCCAUCAACGAGCGCAACCCUUAUGAAUAGUUGUAUUUUUCUAUUCAGACUGCCCCGGUAACGGGGAGGAAGGGGGGGAUGAUGUCAGGUCUGUAUUACCCUUAUAUCCUGGGCUACAAACGCGCUACAAUGGCCGGUACAAAGGGCUGCUAAGUCGCGAGACGGAGCAAAUCCCAUCAAAGCCGGUCCCAGUUCGGAUUGCAGGCUGAAACUCGCCUGCAUGAAGCCGGAAUCGCUAGUAAUCGCAGGUCAGCACACUGCGGUGAAUACGUUCCCGGGUCUUGUACACACCGCCCGUCAAACCAUGAAAGUCACCAACACCCGAAGUCCUAACUCGUUUAGGCCUAAGGUGGGGGGGAUGAUUGGGGUUAAGUCGUAACAAGGUAUCCGUACCGGAA
rnacentral:rRNA from 1 species